AAAAUGUGAAUUUUCAAGAAAUCAAGUGUUUAAAGGUGGUGAGCUAUCUGAUACGGGUAAAAGACUACACCCGAGGACCGAGAAUAGGAGUAUAUCUACUCCUAGUACAGCUCAGGACAAUUUGUUGAUAGUUGAUUAAGACGAGAA